rnacentral:rRNA from 1 species
GUCUGCGGCCAUGCUACCCUGAACAAGCCCAAUCUUGUCUGAUCUCAGAAGCUAAGCAGGGUCGGGCCUGGUUAGUACUUGGAUGGGAGACCACCUAGGAAGACCAGGUGCUAUAGGCA